rnacentral:misc_RNA from 1 species
CGGGUCGCAGCACCUAAACGACGAGGGGAGAACAAGAGGCGCUCAUACGCGCUUGCGCUGGCGUGCACAGCAGAACAGACGCACAUGCUCCCUCCCCACACUACAGGACAUCCAUAAACACGGACUCGCCGGAUCAAGCACACACACCUGCAUACGCACUCGGACACGAUCCCUCAGUACACACCACAUAUUAUAUAUACAUUAGCUAUAAAGCGGAUCUCAACGGGGCUCGUCGCACCAUGUGGGGUGGGCUGCAUUUUUUCGUUUCCAUUGAAACGCUUGUGUCCUUCUCGAUCCCCACCUCCCUGUGUCACGAUGGCGCGACAUCGGCGAUGUCAGAGCCUGGCGACAAGGCGUGUGCGGUCAAGCGAGCUGGCAAUCCGACUGUGCGUCAGCUGCACUUCACCCGAGAACGGCGACUCACCCCUGUCUUUGCCUUCCCUAAUGCGACAUUGUUCUUGCAGGUACUCUUUUCCUCCGGCAACAAGGUGCACCUCAUGACUCCAUGGGACAAGGAGGACACGACGACGAUUCUCAAGUCCUUUGGCUGGGUGAGCUUCCUCGCCGAUGCCAGGCGUGUGUCAGUGGUCCCAGGCUCCUCGCAGUUCAGUUUCAGCAGCCUUAGCAUAGACCCUGCGGACUACACACGUAUCGUCCUCGUCGUGGAGGAUGCGUCGCGCUGGAGCAGCGCGACGACGAUGCAACUUAUCGAGGUGCGCCACACUAGUGAAGGAGAGGACGUGGCAGACUCCAUGGAGCUACUGUACGCUCUCUCCCGCUGCAUCCUGUUUUCCGAGUGGUACCUGCGCUACCCCUCCUCGUCCAUCGCCAGCUGCGCGGCGCUGAGCAACACCACCGUCUUUGCCUUCUGCCGUUUCUUACUGGAUGGCGCUGCGCCGGAUGCCGACUUGAUGCGGCUGCUCUGUUAUCACGGAGGCCGCAUUGUGCACACAGCGGCAGAGGCCACUCACGUCCUUGUUCUCCCGCCUCCACCGGCCGAGCGCGGCGCGUCGUCGAGCACGUCCUCUUCGACUGCGUCUUCCUCCACGUCUUCUUCGGGUGACGACAGCGGAAGCGAGAGCGACGAGCCGUACUGUAGCGUCCACAGCACAAACACGGACACCAGCGACGAGGGGCAUGAGAGUAGCACAUAUGUGCCACACCAGAAAAGCGGAGAGCAGUCAGCUGGCGAUAGCGAUGUGCGUCGUCCAUCUUUCGUUGCGCCCGCGUUGGCCACAGAGGGAACAGCGUCUCUGCCAGCACCACGGCCCUCUGCAACGACACUGCCGAGACCGGCAGCUGGGCCCAGCUCGGAGACUCUUGCUGCGGUGGCGCAGUCGUCAUCAGCGGCGUCUUCUACUGCCACAAACGCUUCUCUCCAGCCCGCGACUGUGACACCGUCGUGGGUGCACCGAUGCGUUCGAGCACUGCGGCUUGUCCCCAUCGAUCGUGCACCAGCGACUCUUGCGCCGAGGGCUGACGAGGAGGAGGGGCAGGGACAGGGGAGACCACAGGGCGGUGGCAAGGUGGAGGUGGCACGCACAACAGGUGCACUCCUCUGUGCGCUGCUGCCCCCCGCUGAUGCGAGGCCCCUGCUUUGGACAACGUUUCACUCCAUCGCCUCUCAACAUGGCUACGACACAGCUGCGCUUGUGCAGCACACCACCACUGUUUCAUCCUUCAAGACUAUGACGGCUGCGUGUGUCUUGGAGGCUUUGACGAGCCCCGUGUUCAGUGACGUUGUCGAGGUGCGACUGCAGCCUCAGCCGGUGGCAGGCAAGCCGACCGAUGCGUCCUCGGCAUCCUCCCGCUCACGUGGGGUGCCUGUCACGCGGCGCACGCUGGACUCGCUGAAGCUGUCCACCGCUCCUUCAGAGCUGGGCCGCAUCGCACUCCACCGCUUCGAGCGGCGGCGCGACAAGGAGGCCGUCUUUGCCCAUUUGCAGCUCAUAGCCUCGCAGUUCCUCUACUCCUUCGACUACGUGCAGCGGCAGCGGUCGCAGUCGCUGCACUGCCACGCAGGCACUCAGACAAGCGGCGUGCGACGCGCGUUCAUGGGCACCAUGACGGAGGCGCAGCUGCCACCGGCGUCGCGUCUGCUGGCCGCAGACGAGGAGGAGACAGCGGGAGCAAAGGAGACGGCUGCCGCGGUCACGGGCGAUGCCCACCUCAAGGAGCGUGAUUCAACUUCUUCGUCUGCGAUGACGGCGGCGGCGAAGACGGCAGAGCCGAUCGCGAGUGACGCGGCCGGCGCCGUGGACGAGAAGGAGUGGCGGCAUCAUUUGAGGAACGUCGAGGGGAAGCUGCUCAUGUCGCACGUCCACGCAAGUGAGAUGAGCGAUAAUGAGACGAAGCUCUUCAAGGAUGGUGUCCCACGUAGUCGAGGUGUCGGCGAUGCCGAGGUGUGCGCGAAGGCCGUGCGGGCACCCGCGACGCGGUACAUCGAGCAUGUGGAGAAGACUGAGCUACCCAAGGCGAUGACGGAGGAAGGUUUCACCCUGGCUGCGCCGUAUUCACCCAAGAUCGUGGCGGAGGCUUGCCCCGACGAGCCGCUGCCUGUUUGGCCACCACCGGCGCCUUCUUUGUUGAAGCCCCCCUCUUCGCUGUUGCCUCUGCCGCCGAUGGCGAAGCCGAUCAACGACGGACGUGGCGGGGCGGACGCCUCGCUUACAGGGUUCACGGCGUGCUUCAUUCCGACCUCGAUUCUGACGGCUGAUCAACAGUGCGACUUCUAUGCCUUUCUGUGCUCGCUGCCGCUCUUCGAGUCAGCCGAGCUCGGCAACAGCGUCGUUCGUGUCGCGGAUGGCGUGCGGUGUCGGUUUGCCAACCACAAGGGCGCGAAGGAUUUCCUGCGCAUCGAGUUUAUCGAGUUUCUCUCCCUGCACCUUCCCAUCUACCCCGCCCUGGACAACUCGAUCGACGUGGAGGAUCUUCACAAGACCAUCAUGGAUUUUCCAUUUCUGCCUCUGCCGACUGCGCCCGAGGUGUCGCAAGAGGAAGCCCAGUCCCUAUGGACGGCACCGGCACCGCCUGAGGCCACAGCGUGCGCCUCGCCGCCGGCAGUGUGCCCGCCAACCUUGUGUCCGCGUGAGACGGGCCUCCGUCCGCUUUGCCGCAGCCCACGUCCACCGUCUGCCCACCCGAGAUCGCCAACGAAUCGCGGGAGCGAUUCCACCCCCGCAUCUCAUGCCGGACCGCAUGCUCCCCGGAGCGAUCUUCGCGCCGAAAGUCGGUGGAAACGCGAUCGCGACGACGACAGCGCCGAGGAACCGCCGCUGCCUGCCGAUCGUCACCGCUACCGUGACCGGUACCGCGGUGACGGUCACCGCGGUUCUUCCUCGCGCCACGUCGAGUCUUCGUCUUCCUCUCACCGCCGUCGUUACGGCGACGACCGCAGCGACCGCCACAGACGCUUACGAGACGACGCGGAUCGAGGCUCGCGUAGUGGCGGGCAUCAUCGACAGCACAGCCGGCGCGAGCGGCGUUAGUGUGGCGCGCAUGGAAGGGCUGUCAGGCUGUUCAGCUGAACUUCUGUGCUCUCCCUCCGCGCUGCGAGGCAGGCUGCGCCCAGCGACCGAGUGGACGGCCCCUCCUGCGAGGGAUACGGAGAGGCGCACAAAGACGACGAACGGCCCACGCUGUCUCUUCCCUCCACCGCUGUUUCUUUGUGUCGAUGAAGGGGCAGCACGUCGUCGACACGGUUGCGCCCCUGUGUGCGUCAUCUCCAUUCACCUUGGAAGGGGUAGAGCCGUGCCCCACCCACGCAUGAAACGCUCCUGUGUGCGUGUGCUAUACCAUCUCUCCCCACCCCCACGGCGCCUCGCCGAUACGUUCACGCUUACCGAGGCACCAACGCACCAGCGAACAAACAAAGAAGCCAGAGGAGAACUCGCGAUGCCCAUCGCUGUCCUGUCCUUUGCACCCCCUCAUGCCAUGUGACACCAUUGGCUGAAGAAGCUUAGCAUCACGCGCCCCACUGCCCUUGUACGCUGUUGCUGUUGCUGCUGCUGCACCUACCCCCACCUUCUCACUUGGACGCACACCUGCCGCUUUCCUGCUCUGUCCUGUCCUGUCCACUCUCGCCUUCGGGUUGUACGCGUGCCCAUCAG